CGUUCAACCUCAGAAGAAGCAGAGGGGGCUUAGUGGUGGGGUGACUGCGUACCUUUUGUAUAAUGGGUCAGCGACUUAUAUUCUGUAGCAAGGUUAACCGCAUAGGGGAGCCGAAGGGAAACCGAGUCUUAAUUGGGCGUUAAGUUGCAGGGUAUAGACCCGAAACCCGGUGAUCUAGCCAUGGGCAGGUUGAAGGUUGGGUAACACUAACUGGAGGACCGAACCGACUAAUGUUGAAAAAUUAGCGGAUGACCUGUGGCUGGGGGUGAAAGGCCAAUCAAACCGGGAGAUAGCUGGUUCUCCCCGAAAGCUAUUUAGGUAGCGCCUCGUGAACUCAUCUCCGGGGGUAGAGCACUGUUUCGGCUAGGGGGCCAUCCCGGCUUACCAACCCGAUGCAAACUGCGAAUACCGGAGAAUGUUAUCACGGGAGACACACGGCGGGUGCUAACGUCCGUCGUGAAGAGGGAAACAACCCAGACCGCCAGCUAAGGUCCCAAAGUCAUGGUUAAGUGGGAAACGAUGUGGGAAGGCCCAGACAGCCAGGAUGUUGGCUUAGAAGCAGCCAUCAUUUAAAGAAAGCGUAAUAGCUCACUGGUCGAGUCGGCCUGCGCGGAAGAUGUAACGGGGCUAAACCAUGCACCGAAGCUGCGGCAGCGACACUUUAGUGUUGUUGGGUAGGGGAGCGUUCUGUAAGCCGUUGAAGGUGUCCUGUGAGGGGUGCUGGAGGUAUCAGAAGUGCGAAUGCUGACAUAAGUAACGAUAAAGCGGGUGA
rnacentral:rRNA from 1 species